GCCUCCGCGCUGACUGGAAGGCACUGCGGCCGCGCCUGCCUGCCCCACCUCGUAAGGGCCUGUGACCUCACGAGGCCAGCCGCCGGGCGCUGCAUUCGAGCGGUGGGGCUCCUGUCCGUGCGCUUUCCUCCCGCAGCCCCGGCCGGGAUUCCGCCCUCCGUCCUUGCCACCCGCUCGCCACUCUUCCCUAAUCGCUGUUCAUUCUCCGGUGCGCUGUCCCGCCAUGGUCUGACCCCACUUCAAUCUUACCUUCGGUCCGUCCUUUGAACACCCCGACCCCCGACCCCUUUCUUCCAAAACAUUCCAUCCUUCUUGGCUUCUGCUACUCAAUAAUGGACAGCAGCUCGAAGGCCAUGUGUCCCACGGCUUUGCUGAAAUUUGUCUCGGGUUGCCUUUAAGGAGACUGUCGUUUCCUUUUGAAAGAGAUACUUUGAACUUCAGAUUGAAAAGCAUGUACUUGAGUAGCUGUAUUUAAGGAAUUACACCCAAGAAGUCUCAUCUUCCCUGGACUUACGUAGAGGAUAAGAUUCUGAACUUUGAAUUGAUGCUAUAAUGGGAUAAGACUUUGGGGCCUUAGAAGGGGAGAACAAAGGCCAUGAAGGUGUUAAAGGGAAGCAAGCGAUCGACAGCAUUGGUUGGUGACAAACCUGUGGCUGGUCUGUGUAUGAUGGGAUGGAUUCCUCCUGCUCCCAGAAGGCACUGUACUUUCAGUGUUCAGGGCAGCCUUGCCUUAGUGCCUCAAACCUAUCCCUACAUCCUGCAGUAAACUUGGAAAGGUAACACCUCUAACCAUCAGGCCUUCCUCUGAAGCACAGUCAAGUUGCUCUUGGCAACCAUCUCAAUUUUAAUAGUGC
rnacentral:lncRNA from 1 species